rnacentral:rRNA from 1 species
AUAACAGGUCUGUGAUGCCCUUUAGAUGCUCUGGGCUGCACGCGUGCUACAAUGUUAGGAUCAAUAGGAUUUUUGUUUAGCGAAUCUGAAAGGACGAGCUACUCCUAUAAUCCCUAACGUAGUUGGGAUUGACGUUUGUAAUCAGCGUCAUGAACCAGGAAUCCCUUGUAAAUGUGUGUCAACAUCGCACGUUGAAUACGUCCCUGCCCUUUGUACACACCGCCCGUCG